UAGAUUCCCUUAAAUUUGACGUAUUAAGUAUAACCUGUAAACAAAUAAACUUGAGGAUUUUUAUAAACUUUUUAAACAAACUUUAUUAAAAAGAAUUUAAAUGAACCUCCUUAGUGAAUGUAAACAAAAGAAAAGAAAUGCUAACUCAAUUCGUUUUAAGGGGCAAAAGUAUGAUAAAAAGGAACUUUUAAGGAGCUUAAAUUGCAAAGUGGUUAUUGAGAAAUCUCGGUGCGUUGAGAAAUUAAUUUUAGCCCAAUUGUAUAAAGUGGAAAUACGGAUCCGUUGUAAUAAUCACUCGCACACAAAGCUAGGAAAUUUUCGCAUGCUUUCGAGCAAGCUUCGCAAAACAAUUCUAACUUUAUCGUUCCUAAAUCGGUGUGUAAUGUUGCAGCCUAAAAAAUAAAUUAAUUAAAUAAAUUUAAACCAUAUUGAGGUUAGGUUAUCUGUCAAUGAAUUGUUGCUGUUUAAUCUAACCUAAAAGUGUGAAGAAACGCGUUCGUUAUAAAAAAAAUUGAUUUAAUGUAAAAAUAAGUGAAAUUUAAUACGCUUUUAUUUGGUUUAUAUGAAAAUCGAUUAAUUAACUUUAUUCUAAAAUAGAUUUAGAAUUUAAUUUUAUAGGAAAAUUAAUAACCUAACACUUUCGUGGCUCCUUAGUGAAUGUAAACAAAAGAAAAGAAAUGCUAACUCAAUUCGUUUUAAGGGGCAAAAGUAUGAUAAAAAGGAACUUUUAAGGAGCUUAAAUUGCA